rnacentral:rRNA from 1 species
AUUGAACGCUGGCGGCAUGCCUUACACAUGCAAGUCGAACGCGAAAGGGGGCAACCCCGAGUAGAGUGGCGAACGGGUGAGUAAUGCAUCGGAACGUAUCCUAUAGUGGGGGACAACCUCGAGAAAUCGAGGCUAAUACCGCAUACGACCCACGGGUGAAAGCGGGGGACCGCAAGGCCUCGCGCUACUGGAGCGGCCGAUGUCCGAUUAGCUAGUUGGUGGGGUAAAAGCCCACCAAGGCAACGAUCGGUAGCUGGUCUGAGAGGACGACCAGCCACACUGGGACUGAGACACGGCCCAGACUCCUACGGGAGGCAGCAGUGGGGAAUUUUGGACAAUGGGGGCAACCCUGAUCCAGCCAUGCCGCGUGCGGGAAGAAGGCCUUCGGGUUGUAAACCGCUUUCGGCCGGAACGAAAUCGCCGGGGACAACACCCCCGGUGGAUGACGGUACCGGAACAAGAAGCACCGGCUAACUACGUGCCAGCAGCCGCUGUAAGAC